rnacentral:rRNA from 1 species
UGCAAGUCGAGCGCGGGAAGCGAGCGGAUCCCCUUCGGGGGUGAAGCUCGUGGAACGAGCGGCGGACGGGUGAGUAACACGUGGGCAACCUACCUGUAAGAUCGGAAUAACCCCGGGAAACCGGGGCUAAUGCCGGGUAAUACUUUUCUUCGCAUGAAGGAAAGUUGAAAGAUGGCCUCUGGCUAUCACUUACAGAUGGGCCCGCGGCGCAUUAGCUAGUUGGUGAGGUAACGGCUCACCAAGGCAACGAUGCGUAGCCGACCUGAGAGGGUGAUCGGCCACACUGGGACUGAGACACGGACCAGACUCCUACGGGAGGCAGUAUUAGGGAAUCUUCC